GGCGAGAUGGCCGAGCGGUCUAAGGCGCUAGAAUCAGGCUCAUCCGAUCCAACAUCUAGUCCUCCGGGGCGUGGGUUCGAAUCCCACUCUCGUCA